rnacentral:rRNA from 1 species
GGCUCAGGAUGAACGCUGGCGGCGUGCCUAACACAUGCAAGUCGAACGAAGUCACUUUUUUACGAUCCCGUUCGGGGUGACGAAUUUGUGACUGAGUGGCGGACGGGUGAGUAACGCGUGGGAAACCUGCCUUGUACCGGGGGAUAGCAGUUGGAAACGACUGAUAAUACCGCAUAAGCGCACAGUAUCACAUGAUACAGUGUGAAAAACUCCGGUGGUACAAGAUGGUCCCGCGUCUGAUUAGCUUGUUGGCGGGGCAACGGCCCACCAAGGCGACGAUCAGUAGCCGACCUGAGAGGGUGACCGGCCACAUUGGGACUGAGACACGGCCCAAACUCCUACGGGAGGCAGCAGUGGGGAAUAUUGCACAAUGGAGGAAACUCUGAUGCAGCGACGCCGCGUGAGCGAUGAAGUAUUUCGGUAUGUAAAGCUCUAUCAGCAGGGAAGAUAAUGACGGUACCUGAGUAAGAAGCUCCGGCUAAAUACGUG